AUAAUAUUUUUUUCCCUCCAGGUUAACUGUAGAAGUAGUGAAUUACAGCAGAAAAUCAGCAUUCUCUUUAAGAUUUCCUAUAAAUAUGCAGUUAUAUCCUAAUGAAAGAAUAAUUCCACAAGUCAGUCAUGUGUCUGGCAGAAACAUCAAAGAGGAAAUCAUUCUUCAAACACUUAUGAAUGUUGAACCUGGAAAGAAUUAUCUCUGGAACAUGGUUAAAGCAGCAGAAGUUGUCUAAUUAUUAAAAAUGAUUUAUUGUAAAUAUACUACCUUACAUUUAUAACAUUGUAAAUAUACCACCUUUUCAUCAUGGAAUGCAUUUGAUAUGUUUCAUUUGUACUGUGUUUUACUUUAAGAACACAUGGGCACAAAAUGUAUGAAAAAGCUAUCUGCAGGUGACCUGGUUUCCUUAAAUAUUGAUGAAAAUAUGUAUUUCCACUACGGAAUUUCUCAAGAUAGAGAAUUUUGUGAGAACAGUUUUAGCCCAAAAGCAAAAUGGUUCUAAAAAUGCAAAACUUAUUAUUUCUUAUGAUUUCCAUUGAAUUAAAAUGUUUAAUAAACAAAAUAUUAAUUAUAUUUAAAUAUGCACAAAAAAAUCUUGUUUUUGCAUGCAAAAUUUAUGAAACAAUACAAAUUUGCUGAUUUAGGAUAUUUUUUAAUGCAUAUUUUUGGUCAAUAUCCUGAAAAAUCUCUAAAUUUCAUUAAACUUGAGGGAACAACUGCAAAACAGAAGUGGUUCGUUUUUUCAGUUUUACAGUUUCAUUUUUAAACUGUUAUGGUGCUGGUUACUAUUAACUGCACUCACGACUUAAAAAAAUAUUAAUUAUUCAUAUUUCACAUAUUUUUUUAUGCAAUAGUAUGGGACUUUUUUGUUGAAUAUAUUGUAUGUUUUAUUAAUUGCAGUGUUUUACAAGGAAAUCAUGUAACAAAUUCAAUUUUGAUUUAGAAUGAUGUUUGUUCUUAUAAAAUUCUCUCUUGUUUUGAGAAAUUUUUUAGUAGAAAAUAUAUAUUCAUAAUCAAUAUUUAUGAAAAUAAAGCUUUAUAGCCAUGUUUCUCAUGAAUGCUAUAAGAUAUAAGAAAGAAUGUAAGUAAGCAAUCUUUAUAAAAUUCUAAUUUAAGCACUCACAUUUGGGCCAUCAAUAAAUUGUCAUUUUAAUUUAUUAUUGUAACAAGUACUAAUGUACAUAUUUUUGGAAUUUCCACUUUUAUUCUUUUUGAAAAUUAACUUAAGUUUGAAGUACUAAAUUUUUAUCAUCUUAUGUAUCUUUACAUGCCACUUAUUUUAAAAUCAUGUUCUGUCAGUCUAGAAUUUUUAUAUAUUUUAAAAACAAAAUUUCAUUUAAGAAAUAAUCCUUGUUUAUGAAAACUAACAGAAUUAUUCAUUACUGAAAAUAAAUUAUAUUAGGAAUUCUUUCUCCAGUAGCCCCCCUUUAGUCAUUUUCAGUAAAUAAUAGUUGAAAUUAAGUCACUUUUUCCUUUUUGAAGAUUUAUGCUUAAUAUCCUUAGUAUUAAGUUUCUUUAGUUUUAUCCAUAGUAUUAAAUUUCCUUAGUUUAUGCUUAAUAAUGUCCUUAGUAGUAAGAUUUAUACUUAUAUAUAUGUGGGGGGGGGUCAUUAAAAUUAUUAUCUUUCACCAAGAAUUUGCUUAGGCAAAUAAUAUAAACAAUCAUGUCUAUAUUAUUUGCCUACGCAAGUCUUUUUCUAUAUGCUUCAGUUUUCAUUAUAAAAAAUAAUUUUUAAAGUUAAAAUUUUACUGUGGCUCUUAUUUCUGUGUGAAAAAUAUUUGCUUAUAUUUUCUAUCAAUUUUAAAGUCAAUGAGAAAGUGAUUGAAGGGUUUAUUCAGGCAUUUUUGUUUUCCAGUUUUAAUCAAAUUAGUUAAUUUUGUAUCCAGUGUUUUUUUUUUGGGGGGGGGGUCCUGUCUAAAAUAAGAAAAAGUUUCUUAUAUCUAAUUUCCAUUAUAUGUGAUGUAUAAUAAAUUCUGUUCGAACCUAUUAAUUCAUGGUCAGUUUACAUUUAUUAAUCUGAAAAAUUAUCUACCUUAGUUUGAAACCCUUAUUUCUUACUGACUUUUUCUUAUUUGAGAUCUUCUUUACCCAUAAAUUAUAAAUAUGAAGUAUUUAUUUGCUAUCUGCAUUUACACCAAUUUCAGAAUUUUCCUAAAGCUAAAUUAGAUAUUUUUUUAAACAAAAUUUUUCUUUAAUCUACGUCUAAAAAUCUAGAACUUUAUAAUAUAAUAGCAUUAAAGCUACAUAAAUGUACUGUGUUAAAUAAUAGAAAUUCAGAGCUUCACUCUGACCAUGUAGGGAAUUUUAUUUAUGCAUACUUCAGUCACUUCCUUCGAAAUUUAUUUAUACAUAAUUGUAGAUUAAUUUUUUAUGAAAAUAAUAAAACUAUGUAAAUGUAUUUUCAAUAAUUGAAAAAUUAAUUUAAUUGUUAAUAAUGAUUUUUACAUAAAUAUUACUUUUUUUAAGGCUGUCUGCAUUUUGCAACUGUUUGAAUUGUCCUUAUUAACAUUCAAAAGCCACUGAAAAAGUUUUAUGAAAUUAAACUAAUUGAAAAUUUCCUUAAUGUUUCAGAACAAACAUAAUUGCUUACA